UGGUUUGUGCAAUUUUAACCAAGACCCAUAAUUCCCAAUCUGAAGAUUUCACAAUGUGAACUGUAUCAAUUUCAGGGUUUUAUAUACUGACAGCAAUGUAAACUGUAUCAAUUUCAGGGCUUUAUAUACUGACAGCAAUGUGAACUGUAUCAAUUUCAGGGUUUUUCACGCUAUUACUUCCCAAAUAGAACGGUACGGGUACUUUUCCCAACUGGGCCAAACAAAUUGCUGUAAGGUGACCAAACAAGCAGCAAUACUAAGGAGCUUUAUAUACUGACAGCAAUGUCCUUGAUGUUUAAUUUUAUUCCGAACUUCAAAUUCUUGUUCACUGAACAAUAAACAUUUAAAAAAAUAUUUUAAGUUAAUUAUUUUAAAACUGCCACCCAGUAAGAUUUGAAUACAAUUGUUAUUAUAGACAUAUACUGAAUUAAAUGGUCAUAAUAGAAUUGUGUGUUCAUUGAACAAAUAAUUAAACUGAAAACCUAACCAUUUAAAUAACUCAUGUACAGAUAAGAUUUUUUUAUUUAAAGCAAUUUGUAAUUUUAAGUAUCAAAAUGAAAUCUAGACAGAAAACUACCUCUCUCAAGUUUUCAAAUUUGUCUUAAAACACUUAAGAAAGCAGAACAUGAAAAUGGAUUCAUUGAAAUACGAUAUACUAGUACAAAGACACAUGUUCAAACUGGGUGUAAUGCAUAUAUGUAUGUGCUAGGAAUCAUCCCAGAUUAGAAUGUGCAGUCUUGCACUUUGUGUCUACAAUGGAUUUACAUCUCGAAGAGACCUUUUAAACAAACAAUUUUAUUAAAGUGUAAAGUGACCUACAUGAUUAACCUGUGCAGACUGCACAGGCAUAUCUGGGACCGCACUUUACGCACAUGCAUUUAGCCCCCUUUUCUCAGAAGGAGCCUCACGUGUAAAUACUUCAAGCUUCGGAGCUGAAAUACUGUAGACCCUAACAGUCAGUACCGUCAAAUAUAAAAAUAUCAACAACAAAGACAUCACAAAUACAUCCACUAAAAAUGCACUAGUCAUCAUAUGAAUCGAAGCCUGUUCAAUUGCUUUUUCACAGGAUAACCAUCAUAUUUCACACUGCAAACUACUUCAAUAAUGAAUACUUUCGCUGUAUCACUGUACAUCUUAAAAGUUCAAAUAAUGUCUCUGUUUUAAUCUUUGCCUUGUCUAGCCAAUAUAACCAUAUAGAAGAUACUUCAAUUAAUUAUAUGGCAUAAAACUGACCCUGAUUUCAUUUUUUUUAAAUCUCCCAUGUGAGCUGUGGAGAUCUACAAUUUGAUACUGUAAUGUACAUGUACAAUACAAAACUGCUUACCAUGUGAAAUCUAUUACAUAAAUGCAACUGUAAAAUGCUGAUCAAAUG